rnacentral:rRNA from 1 species
CACGGAGUUAGCCGGUGCUUAUUCUGCAGGUACCGUCAUCACUGUACACGUACAGCUUAUUCUUCCCUGUCAAAAGCAGUUUACGACUCAGAAAGCCUUCUUCCUGCACGCGGCAUGGCUGGGUCAGGCUCUCGCCCAUUGCCCAAUAUUCCCUACUGCUGCCUCCCGUAGGAGUCGGGCCCGUAUCUCAGUGCCCGUGUGGGGGACCAGCCUCUCAGCUCCCCUAGUCAUCGUCGCCUUGGUAAGCCGUUACCUUACCAACUAGCUAAUGACCCGCAACCCCAUCCAUCAUCAAUAAAUCUUUAACUACUAAGCGAUGCCGCUCUAUAGUCUUAUGCGGUAUUAAUCCGCCUUUCGGCGGGCCUAUCCCCCAAUGAUGGGUAGGUUAGUUACGUGUUACGCACCGUGCGCCACUAUGAGUAUUGCUACUCACCGUUCGACUUGCAUGUAUUAGGCCUGCCGCUAGCGUUCACUCCUGAGUCCAGGAUACCAAACUCCUC